UUCAUAUACACUAUGACUCACAUAUGUGUCAUUUGUUCUUUUGCUUACUAUCAACUACAUGCCACUCGUCCAUAGUUUACUAUUGACUAGAUGCCACUCGUUCAUUAUUCAUCAUUUUCUCUACAUUAUAGGGUUCACAAGACUCGACCCAAUCCUCACCAAUCCUCUAUAUCCAAUAUCCAAUACAUGCCACAAUAUCAUCAA
rnacentral:lncRNA from 1 species